CGAUAAACGUCAAGCUCGAUGGUCUCGUCGCUUCUUGAAAAAGCAAAACAAAAAAAAAAUCAUAAAGUUCGAAGAGGCUCGCGAGCCAGUCAGUGAGUGGACCGAUGGAUGGACGACGACAAAAAUGUUUUUCCUCCUCUAUCAAUGAUCGCGACGUCGCCUUUUUUCCUAAUAGUGCGUGUGCCAUUUUUGAUGCGAAAAAAUAUCCCAACAACGGAAUAACGCGAAACUUAUACGGUUGGUGAGAAAUUGUGAUUGUUUUGUAGUUUGUUUUUAUGCCAGCGCCCCAUUUUGGAACUUCCGUCAAAAUCUGGUUCAAAGACUAUCCUGUUCCUGUGUGUGAUUAUGUUUGGGAAGGGUCAAUGAAGGAAGAGAAAACUCGAAUUCUUCAUCGAUGCUGAGGCGGUUUGUUAGUCACAUUAGUUAAUCGUUUAUGUGGACAAGUGCACCGUAGAUAGAUAACGUUGAACGAAAGCGAAAAAAAAUCGAACGUGAAAAGCUAACAUAAUGGAAGAGGAGCAAACAUAAAGAGUGCUCAGUGAAACGAAAGUGAAUUUGACCAAGAGUGAUUAUGAAAACAUUCCUUUUGGCUCUCCAAGGCUGUUGGGUACGAAAUUACUACUGCUGCUUUUGCUGGUGGCAUACGGGGAACGGCUGUGGUGGCAGUAUUUCGGAACAAGGCGGAUAGGGCAAGCCUUCGAGGACACUUGCAAGGCCACUACUAGCCUGGGCGAUUGGCAGCAGAAAUAAAGGAAUAAAACAACGAGUAUAGCAGCGCUCCGUACCGAGUCCCUAAAUGUACGCAGUAAAACGAAAAUCUAAGGUCAUCGCAAAAGUCGAAAGCAAUAACUGAUACAAAGAAACGCACGAUGGUGCACAGUGGUGCGUAUCUAUCGCACUAUCUGCUGCGACCACCUCCGUCAUCGUCAGCAAUAUCUCAGCUGUAUUCUACCGCCAUCAAUGCUAGUAGCUGUCGCUGUCGGAAAACUACUGUCUUUCGAAAGGCAACCGACACAUCGGCUCCGCUGCUCAAAUAUCGAAAUUCGUCAAUUCAAAUAGUGGUUGCCGCGGAAAAAGAACUAAGAUCGCUUGAUCUGUAUCUACGAAAACUAGCAAAGGCGGUCUCAUCUACACUUGAGAGGGACUCGGUCUGCAAAGCGCAGCUUCUCUUACUUGACCAGUCGAGAUUGGGUUGAGUCCUGGUCACCGAGUGGAACAUUUGGCGACUCAUAGGGACGGAUCUCGAGCGACAACUGACAACUAACACAUAAAACAGGCGUUCGAGGGUGAUUUAGAGAUUAGUAGAUCUAGAGUUCUUAGGAAUAAGAGCAACGGGAAGUGAGGGAUAAUCAAGACGGUAUCUCAACCGGCAAAAGCAAUGUAUUCCGAAACAAUCUCGGAAUUGGACACGAUAGCCAAUGUGAUCGGUCUGCGGGGAGUAGGAACGAGUACAUUAACAAAGUUUGUCGAUAUGUGGUAUCACGUCUUCCUGUGGGCUCUGUUUUCGUCGAUUGUUAUCCAUACCGGUGCGGCGGUAAUUGCGUUUGUCACGCUACGCAAGCACAAAUUUGGUCGAUUCUUCUCAAUUUUUAUCCUAGUAAUGGGUGUUGUUUCUCCGGUUACCGGAGGCACCGUCAGUAGUGCCACCAUUGCCUUUGUACAUAGAGCCUCGAAUUUACCAAUGUCGCCAAUCCUGGCGAUGGUAUACGGCGUUGGACAGACUAUACUGUCUGCUUGUCUCGGGUUCACGCGGCUACUGGCAACACUGUAAAUGCUAUUGGCAUAUCCUGCAUAUGGUCUGCCAGAGCAGACAACAUCCCACUCAAAUACAAAUACAUCCAUACAUGUAAAUUAAACACAUCUAAAUUAUUGUACUAGUGGAAAUUCUAAAUAGAUCAAACACGUUAGCCAUUUUACGAUAGUCCAGUUUUUAUCAAAAUGCGCAAGAGAAGAAGGAAAAAAACGAAUGAAAUGCAUCCUUAGGGACAACCAUACAAGGGCCAUACAACUUGACACGACACAAGAUAAGGUUGAUACCUAUGAUACAAUGAUACAAACGUCAGCUAAUGUGUUGUAACGAGCAAAAAUAGAAGACGACAAAGCGAAGACUAAAACAGAAAUGAGCCACUAGCAGUAAACGGAUGCGAGAAAAGGAAGAAAAAAGAGACAGAAUCGAUUACUAUACAUAGUCAAAACAACAAGAAAUGAAAUAGUGAUAUAUACCUAAAACAAGUAAUUAAAACUAAUUAGUAGAAAAAAUUAAAUGGGAAAAAGAGCAAAUCUAGUUAAAGCAAAUCAAACGCCACUAAAACAAAACCUAAAUGUGCUAUUUACCGACCAUUAUCGUCGUUAUCAUUAUGGUACCGGAUAUUGCGCUUUCGAUACAGUCGCCUGUUUUGUGUUCCACCUUUUUCCCAUUUCUGUCACGGAUGCUGCUAUAAUUGCAUCACUGUCCAUCAUAUCUCUAAUGUAGGAGAGAAAAAAAAAAACACUGCAAACUACUAUUUAUUUGUCAUUUUGUGCUUUCUGCAAUUGCCUAUCUCUCUCAUUAUUGUUUUCUGUCAGCUUUUAAACUAGUAGGUAUAAAUGUAUUCACUCAUGUUUUCCUUUUUUCUUGCUCCUUGUGUACGAUUGUUCUUUCGACAUUCUAUGUAGAAAUAGUGAGUUAUGUUUUGUAUAUUAGUUCCACUAGUUUGAUUCUAUCUCUGCAUAUUCAUUAGGUAGAGUGGGCUUGUAUGUAUAUUUUUGCUUAGAUGAUGAGAAAAAGAGAGAGGAAAAGUCGAGAUUAAUCCAAUAUGUAUCUGUAUUGCUAUGCGAAAAAAAGUGUAGGAACAAAAUCAGUAACUGAUAAUUUUGAACGUGGUUUAGGAAACGGUGAUUUACGCUAGAGGAAAAUGAACGAUAAGCAUCAAUCAGGAAGUUAGGAAGAUUUUUGUGUUAAAGCCACAGUCGAAUUCUCUUAAACUAGAGAUAUGUAAUAAUUUGCGAAUAAAAUAAUGGCCACACAAAAUCUAUAAACAGCUACACUCCCUCUUUGAUGCAUAAAAUGGAGCAGGUUUUAAUCAUAACAAAUAAAUAAAAGUCAAUGAAUCGAUAGUAAAAA